rnacentral:rRNA from 1 species
GACGAACGCUGGCGGCGUGCCUAAUACAUGCAAGUUGAGCGCUGAAGGUUGGUACUUGUACCAACUGGAUGAGCAGCGAACGGGUGAGUAACGCGUGGGGAAUCUGCCUUUGAGCGGGGGACAACAUUUGGAAACGAAUGCUAAUACCGCAUAAAAACUUUAAACACAAGUUUCAAGUUUGAAAGAUGCAAUUGCAUCACUCAAAGAUGAUCCCGCGUUGUAUUAGGUAGUUGGGGAGGUAAAGGCUCACCAAGGCGAUGAUACAUAGCCGACCUGAGAGGGUGAUCGGCCAAAUUGGGACUGAGGCACGGCCCAAACUCCUACGGGAGGCAGCAGUAGGGAAUCUUCGGCAAUGGACGAAAGUCUGACCGAGCAACGCCGCGUGAGUGAAGAAGGGUUUCGGAUCGUAAAACUCUGUUGGUAGAGAAGAACGUUGGUGAGAGUGGAAAGCUCAUCAAGUGACGGUAACUACCCAGAAAGGGACGGCUAACUACGUG